rnacentral:rRNA from 1 species
UGAGGAAUAUUGGUCAAUGGACGAGAGUCUGAACCAGCCAAGUAGCGUGAAGGAUGACUGCCCUAUGGGUUGUAAACUUCUUUUAUAUGGGAAUAAAGUGAGCCACGUGUGGCUUUUUGUAUGUACCAUACGAAUAAGGAUCGGCUAACUCCGUGCCAGCAGCCGCGGUAAUACGGAGGAUCCGAGCGUUAUCCGGAUUUAUUGGGUUUAAAGGGAGCGUAGGCGGACUAUUAAGUCAGCUGUGAAAGUUUGCGGCUCAACCGUAAAAUUGCAGUUGAUACUGGUCGUCUUGAGUGCAGUAGAGGUAGGCGGAAUUCGUGGUGUAGCGGUGAAAUGCUUAGAUAUCACGAAGAACUCCGAUUGCGAAGGCAGCUUACUGGACUGUGACUGACGCUGAUGCUCGAAAGUGUGGGUAUCAAACAGGAUUAGAUACCCUGGUAGUCCACACAGUAAACGAUGAAUACUCGCUGUUUGCGAUAUACGGCAAGCGGCCAAGCGAAAGCAUUAAGUAUUCCACCUGGGGAGUACGCCGGCAACGGUGAAACUCAAAGGAAUUGACGGGGGCCCGCACAAGCGGAGGAACAUGUGGUUUAAUUCGAUGAUACGCGAGGAACCUUACCCGGGCUUAAAUUGCAAAUGAAUAUAGUGGAAACAUUAUAGCCGCAAGGCAUUUGUGAAGGUGCUGCAUGGUUGUCGUCAGCUCGUGCCGUGAGGUGUCGGCUUAAGUGCCAUAACGAGCGCAACCCUUAUCUUUAGUUACUAACAGGUUAUGCUGAGGACUCUAGAGAGACUGCCGUCGUAAGAUGUGAGGAAGGUGGGGAUGACGUCAAAUCAGCACGGCCCUUACGUCCGGGGCUACACACGUGUUACAAUGGGGGGUACAGAAGGCAGCUACACAGCGAUGUGAUGCUAAUCCCAAAAGCCUCUCUCAGUUCGGAUUGGAGUCUGCAACCCGACUCCAUGAAGCUGGAUUCGCUAGUAAUCGCGCAUCAGCCACGGCGCGGUGAAUACGUUCCC